rnacentral:tRNA from 1 species
GCCUUCGUGGUGUAAUGGUCAGCACACUCGGCGCGUAUUCGAGAGGACGGAUGUUCGAGUCCCAUUGAGGGCA